rnacentral:lncRNA from 1 species
GUUGGGAAGAUGGCAGAUGACUACGGAGGACCACGACGAGAGUUUUUCAGGUUAAAAAUAAUUUACAUUUAUUUGACUUUUUUUUUAUUACUCUGAAUGACUACACAUGUUAAGUUUGGAUGACAUUAUUGUUCUAACAAUUGUAAUAAUGUGUCAUUACAUGUAUACAAACAGACUUCUCAUGGCAGAAGUGCAGGACUCACUUGGUAUAUUUGAGGUAAGACCUGAGAAUCUGAUCUUUGCAUAUAAUAAUAAAUACUACACUGCUGGAAAACUCUAUCAUGGUCUAUCAUGCACAAUGGACCUGGGGUCAGAUGUCUGUGUGACAUCUGUAACCAGAAAGCAGAUCUAAGCACAUUUAACACUGAAACAUUCCAGGAAGCAGAUUUGCAACACCAACUAAAAAAGGUAAACUAAAGUUUUCAACAUCACUUUAUAUAUUGUGUAAUGUGUAGCAUUAGAUAUUUUUUUCAUUUAUUGUCAUUGUUAGAUAUCUUAACGUUACAAUGUUGCAUUCGUUAUUUGAAGGUUCUGAAAAAGAAAGUGUACAAAUUAAAAAAAUAAUAAUAAUUCAAUAACACAAAUGUGACAUACUUGAUGAAAAGCAAAGUAAGGAUAAAAAAACAAGUACAAAUUCAGUUCUGUCUUUUCUGUAUUUAAUUUUUAAUGAAGGAAGAGAUGCUCUUUUAUUAUGCUCUUCUUCUUUGCAUAUGAGAGUGAUUGGGAAUGUGUUAUCUUUUAACAACCAUUGAUGUUUAUUAAGUCGUGUUUUAAUAAUGGUAACAGCUUCUUUCCAUCAUUGGUUUAUGAAGCAGACGGAGGUAAACUUUAAAGGAAUGUGUAGUUUUAUACAACCUUGCUGUGCAGUGAAACCACCCACCCAUACAGAGCCAUUUCCUAUCAUACACAGAACAUAAAAUAGUUUUACCCACUACAACUCAAUAUUCAACAUCACUUUCUUUAUUUAGAUAUUACAGUGCAAGACCACAGAGGAAAUGGAAGAGAUCAAGGGAGAACUUGGAGACUGGAUUCAAAUGUGUUCUCUGCAGCAGUGGCUGAUAUUCCAUCAAUUUAUGAACAAGUUGUCAGCCAAUACUUAUACCACAGAUAAAGAGCUAGACAUUACCUUUGAAGAAAUUCUGAUCUUCGCAACGGGAGCUGAUUCUGCACCACCUCGCGGUUUUCCCUCGAGUGUGAGAUCCAGUUCUACGAUCAAGAGCCUGGAAGCCAGCGGAUGCCAUACUCCUCAACCUGUGCCCUUGUUCUGUAUUUGCUAAGAGAAAGUAACUUGACACUACAAACAGUUAAUAUGGAAGACCGUAAGUUCUGUUUCCCCACUGACAACAUUGGGUACAGAUAAAAGAUCCAGUACCCCUGGGCUUUCCUUGCAGAGGUCCCCCAUCACUUGCCGUACCCACAACAUCAGAUGAGAGUGAAAGGCCCUCUAGGUCCCGUAGUGCCUCAAGAAAAAAGGAGGAACCAGAGACCACAGACAUUGUGGAGUGGCUGAUGUCUUUUUUUCAAGUGGCUUUUACCAAACCACACAUACUGAUGCUGAACUAGAUGAAGCUUACCACUUUGCUCUCAGCCUUGUGCCAAUGUUGCACAGAUUGGAUAAGGACAGGAGGCAAAAAGCCAAAAUAGAGAUCUUGAACACAUUACACAAACUAGAAAAAAAAACAACACCAGCAAACUGUUCCCCCAAAACAUGCAGCUGGUUGGCAACCAUUUCAUCCUCCAACAUACACGCCAAUAUAUCCACCCACUCAGGAAAUUACAGGGCAGUCCAGCUCCAGGCCAGCAGGUUUUCGGCCAAUUACCCUUCCUCCACAAGGUACACAAUGGGAAGACGAUAGCACUUAUGGGUCUUACCACUGAGACUUGUAGUCAGUCAAGUAAAACUGACUCGAUUGUACAUAAUUGAUGUAAAAAUGUAAAAGUGUGUUUUUUUAAUUAUUUUAAAAGUGCCUUUUAUUUAAAAUGUUGUGCCUAUUGGUUCUUUUGAUGAUUUUUACUGUUUUAUUUUGUCAAUUUGAAGUUGGUUAUUACAUAUAUUUGUUACUAAAACAAAUAUGAACCUUUGCUGUUUUUGAAAGCUGAAUGAUUCAAUGUUUAUUAUUACAAAUAAAAAGACAAAAAUGAGUUCAAGUUCAAGUUGAGAUUUAUUGUCAUAACGCUACAUUUGUGGACAUACAGUGGAACGAAAUGUGCCUCACAGGACCACAGUGCUACAUAAAUACAGACAUACAACAAUGAAGGAAAACAGUAAAAACCUACACAACACAACUAACACUGACAGAUUUGAACUAUAAAUAUAAAUGUUUACCUAUACAUAGACUGAAACAGAAAAAAUACAGGUGCUGGUCAUAUAAUUAGAAUACCAUCAUAAAGUUGAUUUAUUUCACUAUUUCCAUUCAAAAAGUGAAACUUGUAUAUUAUAUUCAUUUAUUACACACAGACUGAUAUAUUUUUAAUGUUAUUUCUUUUAAUUUUGACUUUAUAACUGACAACUAAGGAAAAUCUCAAAUUCAGUAUCUCAGAAAGUUAGAAUAUUGUGAAAAGGUUCAAUAUCGAAGACAUCUGGUGUCACACUCUAAUCAGCUAAUUAACUCAAA